CCUGCACAGCCCAUCCGCGGUGCUGUGUGUAAUACAAUAUUCACCAGGCAGCUUCCCCUCUUCUCAUUUAGUCAAAGGGAAACAGUUCAAGCCCUGUCAACCUGAGACUCUGCAACAUUACUAGAAAGGAGAGUGUUUCAUGGAUGAUUCUGCCAUUUCCAACUUAGAUCACCCCCCGCCACACACACACACAAUCUUGAGGAUUAUAAGGUCAUCACAAAGCUACCACCCGCCCAUGGUUUAUUUUCUCUUUUCUCCACCCUUCUUCUUUGGUUAUCCAUCCAUUUCAGUUGUCUGGCCCUUCCUGCCACUGGGAAGGCCUGCAACAGUCUCUGAUGAUCUUUGGGCCACCCUGGAUUUUCUGCUUCCCUUUCAAUUCCUCGAACCAAUGUCUGAGUGGAAGCACAUCUUAUUAGGUGAAGGGCUAGAGCAAGACACUAGAUUAAGAGGAUGGAGGAGAAGAUGUGAUGUGUUUCCAUUUUAGCCCUUUGGACUGGGUUGUAGUCCUUAGAGAGAAGGUAAGAAAUACGGGGACAGGAAAGAGAUAGGUACAGAAAAAGUAAUGGGUGUUUGUCCUGAAAUUCUUGCUGUAAUUGUAGACACAAUUUUCCUUAACAUGGCAGGCCCAACGUUGUUGAGAACACUAUGUAUCUUCUUGUCAGUGUUGGGUCAUCAAGAAUUAGCCUCAUGUCAGGGACAGUUCUCUCUCUCCAUAGCUUUGGCAGAGGACACUACCAUGUAGCUUCAAGUGGACAGCAGGUAAGGCAAUGGGAGCUGGGGGAGCACUGCGGGGCGUCUGUGGUCCUGCAGAGAGCAGAGUAGUUUGUG
rnacentral:lncRNA from 1 species